UUCCCCUUCGGGGGACAAAGUGACAGGUGGUGCAUGGUUGUCGUCAGCUCGUGUCGUGAGAUGUUGGGUUAAGUCCCGCAACGAGCGCAACCCUUAAGCUUAGUUGCCAUCAUUAAGUUGGGCACUCUAAGUUGACUGCCGGUGACAAACCGGAGGAAGGUGGGGAUGACGUCAAAUCAUCAUGCCCCUUAUGAUUUGGGCUACACACGUGCUACAAUGGACAAUACAAAGGGCAGCUAAACCGCGAGGUCAAGCAAAUCCCAUAAAGUUGUUCUCAGUUCGGAUUGUAGUCUGCAACUCGACUACAUGAAGCUGGAAUCGCUAGUAAUCGUAGAUCAGCAUGCUACGGUGAAUACGUUCCCGGGUCUUGUACACACCGCCCGUCACACCACGAGAGUUUGUAACACCCGAAGCCGGUGGAGUAACCAUUUAUGGAGCUAGCCGUCGAAGGUGGGACAAAUGAUUGGGGUGAAGUCGUAACAAGGUAGCCGUAUCGGAAGGUGCGGCUGGAUCACCUCCUUU
rnacentral:rRNA from 1 species